AGCGAACGCUGGCGGCAGGCUUAACACAUGCAAGUCGAGCGGGCGUAGCAAUACGUCAGCGGCAGACGGGUGAGUAACGCGUGGGAACGUACCUUUUGGUUCGGAACAACCCAGGGAAACUUGGGCUAAUACCGGAUAAGCCCUUACGGGGAAAGAUUUAUCGCCAAAGAUCGGCCCGCGUCUGAUUAGCUAGUUGGUGAGGUAACGGCUCACCAAGGCGACGAUCAGUAGCUGGUCUGAGAGGAUGAUCAGCCACAUUGGGACUGAGACACGGCCCAAACUCCUACGGGAGGCAGCAGUGGGGAAUUUGGACAAUGGGCGCAAGCCUGAUCCAGCCAUGCCGCGUGCGGGAAGAAGGCCUCGGUUG
rnacentral:rRNA from 1 species